AUUAAUAUACUAAAGGUGGAACUUCUUGUAGGAAAUAGCCGCGUUAAGGCUGCAUGGUGGAAGGACACAGUUUACGAGUUAUCGAUGAGACAGGAUAGCCCGUUCGACGGGCAUUUGCUGGCCGAGAGACAGCUGCCUUGUACGCGUGUACGUGUGACAUGUGAACGCGUGACACGCGUCCACGUUUCGCCUUCUCGUUUCGUUUCGUUCCGUGCGAAAGGACCUAAGAAAAGGCUCCAGUCGGAUGUAGUAGGUGGUGUACGCGGAGCCUGCGGCAGAUGUUGCCCUCCAUCACGGAAUGUUGCAGUGUUCUCUUUCGCUUCUCCGGAUCCUGCGCGCAUUGCGGAAUAUCGGCCGGUCCCCGAUCGUUGCCCGAAGAAAUGACACCAAUUUGAAUGAUGGGACCCACGGUGGACCACCGCGAACGAGAAAAACGCUGCGCGACUCUGGUCUAGAUGGUCCGCGAUUUCCUCGGAGGAUUCGACGCCUAAUAUAAAACGUAUCGCCGAGGGAACUGAACGGAACGCGGAGCAGCCGGCGAUUUUUUCCAUUUCCAUUCGAUUACGAUAGAAUCCUUUACGUAACGAAACGGUUGCACCGUUGCCGAGCGCGAUUGCGUCAGUGAUUAGCGAGGUGCGAAGUACGAGGCGCAAGGUACAAGGCGCAUUUUCGGAUUCGCCCGCAACAUCUCUGCAACACCUCUGCAAACACCUCUGCAACACCUUUGCAAGAACCGGGGAACGCCUCUGCAACCGGCUCCGGAACGCACCUAUGCCAAGGAAACACGCCGCAAUCGAUUCCUGAUCACUGAUACGUUUCCUCCGGCUCGGCGCACCGACGCACCGGCGCGCGCGAUUAUCUUACCGGACUUCCCGGCCGCGCUCAGAUUUUCUUCGCUCGUCGAUAGAGAUCGCAAUCUGGCCUGUUGUUUCGCGUGCUCGAGGGUGGCCCGACCGAUCCCGGCGAGCAGCAGAUGCGCAGCCCUCGAAUCGGUCGAUGCACCGACGAACGUGAUCGAUACAUGAUACUUUACUGCGAGUCAAAUCAUCUCUCGCCACUUGGACACGCCUGCACGCGUGCAUCAUGCUCGCCACUCUUCCGCAGACUCUUUCUCUCUCUCUCUCUCUCUCUCUCUUUUACGCGCGCGAGAAUACGCUCGAGCUUCCCAGAAGAUCGCGGUGAUUCUUAUUGACUCAUCCUCUAGAGACUGCACAAAUAGGUAAAAGACGAAAUUGUAAGAAAUUGGCAGAGUUGAAGAAUAUUUGCAUGAUAAAAUAUUGCGGUCCAGUCAUCGAGUUCGUCAAUUUUGUCUCGUUGCUGCGGCGCGCUUCGAGAUUAGAGGAAGAGCACCUGUACAAUCGCGGUCGUCGAACGAGACGAGAUUUUUGUCGAGCUCUCCUAACAGACGUUUGUCCGGCCUCUCGACGUCAUUUACACCGCAACGCGUUCUUUGCCCGAAUGAAACGAAACGUUUCUAAAAAGCUUUGAAACGGUUCGAAAAUAGAGGAUCUCAAGGACAACGAAACGAGCAACGGAAAUUGGUAUGCACUCUCGGUCUCGGCGGACAGAAAACUGAUGAAAAGAGGUCGCCGGGGGCCUCGGAAUAUAACCCGGAAGAGGACGGAAAGGAGACAAGGAUCGAGGGAUCGAAGCGAGAGGACGCUAUUUGAGUUCGCCGUCACGUCGAUUAUCUCGGGCGGCGAUCGCGGAGGGUAUCGGGUCUCCUUCGACGAAUCCAAAGAGCAACACCUACGAAACGAACGGUUCGUCGAGGGUGGCUCUACGUUCGUUUAAUGCUAGGUUACACGGGACCCGAGAAAACGACGAGUUACAAAUGUUUCGAAUUCCCAGGAAUCGCAAGAGAUUUUCUGUGCGCGUGGUACGAGGCAUACGCGUAAGCACAGGCCCUGUAACGAUUCAGGGUGAAAACCAAAGGCGACCGUGAUUCGGUCAGGCCUGGGUCGGUUUACCUGAGAGAGGACGGACCUCGAAUUCCUUCGAGAUGAGAGAUAGCGAGGUGUGAUUCACGGGAAAACUUGCGAUAAACGCGAUUUUAUCGGUCGACUAACGCAGACAUAUCUUCGGAGCCGAAAGAUUUCCUUUUCGUUUUGCUUCCGCUGGUUUGUUGAACUUUCGUCAAAAUUUAUGAUACUUCAAAAGCGACCGACAUUUCCUGCUUUAUUAGAACGACGACUAGACCCAAAAUGUAUUUAGACUUAUUAUUUUUUAUUAUUAUUUUAUUAUAUAUUAUUGUUCUUAUUAUAUAUUAUAUUUAGACUCGCCAUUCCAAUAAUAUCGUAUGCUUGGAUUAAGAUAUUGAUUCGAUCGUUACUAGAUCGCGGAUUUUAUGCAUAAAAUUUGAUGGGAAGUGGCCGAGUACGGUGUUGUAAAGUUAUUAGAAGAGUUCAAAGUCGCUGUUACAUCAUUUUCAACUUCUUACAAUUAUUAAAAGAGGAAAGGCGUGUAA